AUUGAGGUCUAUCCCGAUGGGACCUUGCUGUAGGUUCUUGUCGUUGGAAAUGCCUCAUAAAGCAAACUUGUAGAUUCGCUUUACUCACUAAACUGUGUGUUAGCUUAGUGGGCUAAAACUACAAGACAAGU